rnacentral:tRNA from 1 species
GGCUUCGUGGUGCAGUGGCUCUGCACCAGGCCGGUCCCGCCAGGACCACGGGUUCGAAUCCCGUCGAAACCA